UUCUGCCUCUGACAACGAGUAUAUCAUUUCUGUGCGUCAUCUCAGAAAGAGGCAGAGGAAUGGGUGGAGCAGAUAGAUUUUGUGUUGAGAGACAUGUCAGGGGUCAUUCCGUUGGACGAGGAGACGUACGAUGACAUUGGCACUGUCGAGGUGGAGCCUAUUGACGAUGACAUCUACGAAGAACUCCCAGGUCUACCAUUUCUCACACACACAUACAUAUACA